rnacentral:lncRNA from 10 species
UUUUUAUUUGAGAUCUGCCUUGCUUAUUUCACAAAGAGUUGCAACCCGAAUGCUGAAGAUUUCUUCUCUCCUCUCUCCCCAACCUGCACAGUUCUGGUAGGGGGUGGGAUGUGUUACAUGCUUUACCCAGGAUCCCAGGCGUGCGUCUUCAUUAUUUUUAGUAGUAAUCUCAUCGCCGGUCUGUUUUCUGGAAAGUGCCCUGAUAGUGUUUUGUUGGAGCCUUUCAUUACGUUUCAUGGUUAGGGAAGAGGGUUAUGUAUGAACACAUCCACUCGCAUGCUCCAUCAGGUUAUCCACACGUGCCUGUAGGCCUCGUUUGUGGACACGCUCCUCCACACAUCCCCAGCCCUGAGAGCAGAAGGAAGGGCCACAUUCUUGGUUUGUUUUUUUUUUUUUUUUGGAGACAGACUCACUCUCUGUCACCCGGGCUGGAGUGCAGUGGCACAAUCUCAGCUCACUGCAACCUCUGCAUCCUGGAUUCAAGCAAUCCUUCUGCCUCAGCCUCCCAAGUAGCUGUGAUUACAGGCAUGCACCACCACGCCCAGAUAAUUUUUUUGUAUUUUUAGUAGAGACAGGGUUUCACCAUGUUGGCCAGGCUGUUCUUGAACUC